rnacentral:rRNA from 1 species
AUUGAACGCUGGCGGCAGGCCUAACACAUGCAAGUCGGACGGUAGCACAGAGGAGCUUGCUCCUCGGGUGACGGGUGGCGGACGGGUGAGUAAUGUCUGGGGAUCUGCCCGAUAGAGGGGGAUAACCACUGGAAACGGUGGCUAAUACCGCAUAACGUCGCAAGACCAAAGAGGGGGACCUUCGGGCCUCUCACUAUCGGAUGAACCCAGAUGGGAUUAGCUAGUAGGCGGGGUAACGGCCCACCUAGGCGACGAUCCCUAGCUGGUCUGAGAGGAUGACCCGCCACACUGGAACUGAGACACGGUCCAGACUCCUACGGGAGGCAGCAGUGGGGAAUAUUGCACAAUGGGCGCAAGCCUGAUGCAGCCAUGCCGCGUGUAUGAAGAAGGCCUUCGGGUUGUAAAGUACUUUCAGCGGGGAGGAAGGCGAUGUGGUUAAUAACCGCGUCGAUUGACGUUACCCGCAGAAGAAGCACCGGCUAACUCCGUGCCAGCAGCCGCGGUAA